UCAAUCUUUGGAACUCAUUGCUAGGGGAUACUAUGAAGGCCAAAAGUAUAACUGGAUUACAAAAAGAAUUAGAUAAAUUUUCAUGGAGAGUAGGUCCAUCAAUGACUAUUAGCCAAGAUCAUCAGGGUCCAUAAUUCUCUUGGUGUCCAUAAUUCUCUGACUGCUAGAAUCUUGGGACUGGAUGGCAGAGGAUGCAUCACUUGAUAGAUUGUCCUGUUCUGAUAACUUCCUCUGAAGCAUUUGACACUGGCCACUGUAAGAAGACCGAAUAUGAGGCUAGAUGGACCACUGGUUUGAGGCAGUAUGGCCAUUGUGUUCUUAUGUUGCAAAACUGAGCUCUGUGGAUAGAUAUGCAGUUACCUGACUUCACCACUAGCAUCUAAACUAGUCUGAAUUAGGAGAAGCCCAGAGCAUGUUAAGUUUCUACGGUGAACUUUAUAUAUAAAGGACCUAAUUUUCAGAUACACUGGGCAUCUGUAGCUCCCACUGAAAUCAGUAGGAGCUGUGACUCCUUAAAACUUCUGAAAAUCAGGCCAUAAAGUCUCUUAAAAGAAGACUGGUGUGGAGCUGCCAUUUUUGAGACUUUAGCAACUCUGAAAAGCUCAAUGAACUGGGCAAAUAAACAGCAAUUAGCAGGCCUGUGCACUUAUGUGGCUCUCAAACUUGGAAGGUGAGUUAUUCCUGAUGAUGAAGGCCAAGACAAUUACCCUGCCAACCUCUUUCGGGGCAUUACUCCCAUUUUAAAAUAAUGUAAUCUAGUUUCUGUAAAUCAAUUUUGCAUAUUGACUACACAAUUGCUCUGCUGGCUUUGCUUGCUUUACUUAAUGCAUCUAGAUUCAUUGUAUGUUCUUGGUUCUCACUUAGACCAAUGGAUUUUGGAUUUCUUCCUAUCAACUACAACCUAAAGGCUAUAGAGCUUAAAGUUACUUUGCUCUGUGGUUUUGGUUUUCUUUCUAUAUUACUGCAUAUGAUAUUAGGAAUGCAUCAGUUGAAGGAACUUUUAUUUUUAUAUACAAUAUAUAUAUACACACAACUUUAAAGUACUAUUCAUUAAUAGACUAUCAGAAAAUAUUUGACAUGGUUAGUGCAAGUGCUUACUUAACCAUACUGACUGUAAAACAAUUGGAACUGAAAUGGUGUGCAUGUAUUUAGCUUCUCAGCCCAGCUCAACGCAAUCCAGUCCAGACACAUGAGGAGAAGCAUGAAUUUUGCAGAGUUUGUUUUAGGAUUUGUUUUAUUUUAGCUCUAGUGGGAGAACUAAAAUAUAUCCCUUGAACUAGUCAAAUUCCAGCAUUUUGCUCUAAGUAAACGUACUAUCAAUGCAAGCAAUAAAACACUUGGAUUUUCCUCUGUUUACCCUUUAUGAAGUGAUCUUACAUUUUGAUAAUCAGGCCCUAAAUUGAUGACAAUUGGAAUAAUCCAAAUCAAAUAACAUUCCAAAACUAACCCCUCAGUACAGACUCUGAUUGCCUAUGUGUAUGGAUUUUCCUUGGCUCUACAUUAAAAUGAUGUCCUGUCAUGAGUCUUGGGUGUUCCUUAAGUCCUACCCAUAAUUUCAUGAUCCUCACCACAGAUUCAAAUUUCACACUCUGCUUGCAGCUCUAGAAUCUUCUGUUAAUGUUACAAAUUCAGUUUGGCUGCUUAUAAACAUAAACAUGCAGCAAUUAUGAUGAAGCAGCAUUGGGACACAGUGACUUCUUCAAGAAUGAACAGAAGUAUAGUAUAGAGAGGGAUUGGCUACUUCAUAUAAGAGGCUUAGUGUUACUGUAAGCACUUUUUUACUCAAUGAGUUUGGAUGAAGAUUUAUUGAGUAAACAGCUGGUCCAUUUAAAAAUGCUUUAGAGAUGGUACCAGACAUGAUGAGAGGUACUGUUUCCUGGACAGUUCACAACUUUUUGUCAUUUAGGCAUGAAUUCACAGAAGUACUCAACCACCUAAUCCCCAGAUUUAGGUGCCUAAAUGCUGUUUUUAGGCACCAUUGCAAUCCACAAAACUCCUACUCAGCUGCUGAUAAAACCCUCUAGGUGCCUAAAAUCACUCAGCAUCUACUUUUUUGCAGUAAAAGUUCCCUAGACACCUAUGUUUCUGCCUCUGGGCCUGUGCAUCCCUGCCUUACUCUUGGCAUUCAGGCACCUAUCUCCCACUUAAGACACAGAGCAAAUUCACAAACCAGAGGAAGAUAGGUUCUCCUCUGCCUUACAUGCCAGGCCAAUCCCCAUGCUCAGAGGCUACAUAGAUCUACACAGCCAAGGAGUAAAACCUCCUUCAUAACCUUUUUCACAGUGGUUAGGGAAUUCAUGUGGGAUGGGAGGAGACACCUGGUUCAAGUUCCCCCUCUGCCUGAGGAGAAGAUAUUUUAACAGGAGUCUCACACCACCACUCUCUCUAACCCAAUUAAUAUUUAAUUAAAGUGGAAGUACUUAAACAAGAGAUUGAAGGAGACCCCCAUCAGCAUAUCCCAUAACUCAGUGGUUAGGCAGGGCAAAUCACCCAAGAGGAGGCCGAUCCCCCUUCAAAUUCCUUUUCCUCAGCUGGAAGAGGGAGUAUUUGAACCAGGGGUCUCCUACAUCCCAACUAAAUACCCUAACAAUUGGGCUAAAGGUUACAAAGGAGGUCCUCCUCCUCCUCAUCUCUUCUCCCCAGCUGUUUUAUGUAGUGCUAGCUAGUCUUUGAGCACCGCUACCAGCUCAAGCCCCUGAGUGACAUAAGUUUUGAUGACAUAGGUGGUAGUGUAGACAUAGUUGUUCCAAUUAAAGUGUUACCUCACACACAUGGGCAGCAGGUGAACCACUGGCUGGGGGAGGCUAGACCCUGGCCAGCCCUGCCCCCCCCGCCCAAGGAUUCGCCCCCUUCCCCUGCUGGGCCUUCUCCACCCCAGCCUCCAAGCACAGGUGGGUGGGUGGCACCCCCCACCCCGAGCGCAGAGCAGGUGUCGCCCCCUCCCACUGCAAGCACAGCGCAGGGCAGGUGGCGCACGGGCCCCACUCCGGCCCAGCUUCCAAGUAGAAGGCAGGCAGCCCCAGCAUCUGGGGCCCCCACAGCGUAUGGUGGCCCCAGCUACCCCAAGUCCUGACUGCCAUAACCCCAGCCCCAGCAGGCUUCUCUGAGAGGAGCAACCUGCCUGGGCUGGGAUCAAGGGGGGAAUGGCAAGCAGGGCUUUGGGGAGGAGCAUGGAUGGGGUCUCAUUGGGCUGUUUGGGGAGGCACAGCCUUCCCCAGCCUAUGCGACACGCUGCCAAUGCUCACCCACCUUGCCUCCCUUUGUAAGAGAGGCACUGUGUUCCUGUGGGACAGCUGGCAUUUUAAAGUAUCAGGUUUUUGUGUUAUCACAAAGCUACAAGUGUUGUGCACUCUCUCGUGGAACCAACCUUUAAUUAAGGAAGGUAUUCACAAUCAAAGUGCAAGCAGGUCAGACAAUCUGCUUUCUAGUCCCAAUCUGCCUCUGAAGUCUUGGGUAUUAUCUAGGAAAUUAUAUCACUGUGUGACAGUGCUGAUAGGCUAGCAUAAUAAUGUUGAACCUGGAUGCACAGCCUUCUGAAGACGCCCAACUGGUUCAGACCAUUGAUUGUUAGGCAUGUAUACCCAUGGGCACCCAAGAAGGCCAGCUAUCCUCUUUCUAGCCUAUUUCUGGCUUCUCAAAUUUCAUGUCCCAUUGUUGGUUCCCCAGUGAUAUUAUUCUGGUGUUUUUGUGGGCUUAAUUUAGACAUGAACCUUCUGAUGUAUUUUCUUCUCCUCAAGAACAGUCCCUUUCUCUUUCUUCUUGAUAAAAACCAAAUGCUAUGACUAACAAAGUGGAUGAGCUUAAUCAUGUGUCCCGAAAUACCAAUUCUAAAGGGUUUUAUAUGUUAAUUUGGUAACAUACUCAUUUCUAUGCAUAUUGCACAUAUUCAAGGACAAAUGAGAUUUCUAAUAAAUAGCAUGGAUUGAACUACAUGAAGUGAAAAUUACUAGCAGCUGGAGGGAAGGUGCUGGGAUGGCAGCUGGCCAUCAGGAAACAAUGAAGAGAUAACGAAGAGGCAGAUAAUGGAUAUCUGUCCACAGACAAAUGCCUUUUAAGUGCAGGAAGCCACAAAAUUGAACUAAAGAGACAAAUUUUUUAAAAAGAGAAAGUUAUUUUUUAAAAGUCCUAACCUCAAAGCUAGAAGAGCGGAGUGGAAAGUUGGCAAUAAUCAAUUAAGCAAACAAAGGCCACAUGGUAAAAUAAUUAAUAAAACAACAAUUAAUUUUAUUUUUAUGGCCUCUAUCCAUUUUAGCAUUCCAGGCACCUCAUAGAAGCUGCAGAGUAAAACUACCACUAAAAUACUUUCCCAACAUUAAAAUAAAAAAUAUUUUAAUGCUGCUUUUAAAACAGAUCAGAUCCUGGUCAAUUCUCAUUUCAAGUGGCUUGGAAAUGUCCCAGAUUCAGAGGCACAGAGGCUAAAAUAUAAACUACAGUACCUAAUCUAGUCCUGUAAGCCCUUCAGACCCAAACAUCCUACUUCGCUCCAAACUACAUGGGUGGGUUUAGACAGUAGAGCUCUUUGCCUAAAAAGAGGCAGAGCUAAAGAGCCCAGAUCAGCGUGUUUGGCAGCAGCUCUUUCUGCAAUCUGCUAGUGCCACGUGAGUGCCUGAGAAUCACACUGGGACUUCAUGAGAUCCAGAUUCCAGGGGUUAACUACUUUCUGUUGCUCUGAGAGAGCAAGAUGAAAUACAGGGUGUCAGAAGGUGUCUGUAUAUAUCCUGUACUUGUAGAACAAUGUUAUGUUUUUAAUUGUUAUCACAGACAAAACUCUGCUGAAAACGUAAGCUGACAAAAGAGCAUGCAGUGACCCACAAUAGCCUCAGGACUUUGGACUAAAAGAGUCACUUUCAGCUCUGGCUUCUUGAGCAGCAGCUCAUUAUAUCUCAUUAAGCACUUCUGAACAUGAACAUUUUUCUUUAUUUAUUGCCUUUGCCUUGCCAGGGUAAUAUACAAUUAUGGUUUCUUAAGACAGAGGUUUUGUUUUAUUUAUUUAUUUUCCCCUCCUAAUUCUUGUGUGAGUAGAGGAAAUUCUUUGGGAAUGAAUAGAAGCUAUUUGGUGUAUAAAAUCUUAUCCUUUUUUGGCUCUCUCUCACAUCGUGUCAUCUAGUUAUUUUUCCGAAUGAUUCCAAUGUGUUUGCCUCAACAAGUCUGCCUGUUGGGGUUAUUAUUAUUAUGCGCUAUUAGUCUUCUCAUAUAUUUUUGCAAGCACAGUUCUACACUUCUGUUCUGAAAUAUAUUUUUCUUUAUUUUCAUAUGGUCCUCCUAUUAACUGGGAGGAAAAAUUGAAUGAAUAUAUAGGUUGAUACAUUGCAUUCACCUGCCUUUUGAAAUUCUAUACCUCUAUUGCAUUUUCUGAAUUUCCAAUAUAUUCUCUCAAUUUGUGAUGACCAGGACCUCUCAAAAACAAGUUUUAAGUCAAGAUAGUCACCCAAAAAUUGAGAACCAAAAUUAAUAGACACUUGAAAAUUUUACCCCAAAUCCUUUUAAUCGUUGAGUUGUCAGUUGUCACCAUCCCUCUGUGUUAUUUUGCCAUUUCAAGUGUUAAUGUACUGUGUUUAAUGUCAAAUGGAUGUAGUAGACUAAUCACACAAUAGGAGCUCUGGAGGCUCUGAAAAAAAAAUCUAGCCACUUAAUUACGUGCCUAAACAUAGAUUUAGAUGGCUAGCAUUAGGCACCCAACUU